CUGUGAUCAUUCUUUUGUGGCAUCAUUGCUUGAUUCCCUGAUUCCCUGAUUAAUGUCUCCAACUAAAGAUGACAGUGAAUAUUUAAAUUCUAAUUUUGUUUUAAUGUUAUUGUGGUUCAAGUGGCAUUAUUAUCAUAAGGAGAUUUGUCCUGUCCUACAGUUCUCCAAAGAACAUCACAAAAGAGAAGUAAAAGCCACCACAUAUAAUUUUUGUGCUUAUAUCCAUUUCUCUUCUCUUCGUAAAUGACAUCCCCUUCCCACUCCUUCUAUCUAUAUGGGUGUCGUAUAGAUUAACCCGUUCUUGGGGCCGCAAGCAUGUCCUAGUCUAUAGAUCUGCACUUACAAUUCUCAGAAGCCUACUGACUACUUGGUUUCCUAAUGAUAUCUUCGAAUUCAUAGGCUUGGCCAUUACUGGAUGUGGCGUGGGAUUCCUCUAUCAGGUAAUUCUUAUGAUAUGCAAUGAGACCAAUAUAGGAGAUGCCCGAGGCCUGCGUAGGGAGAUUACUAGAUGAAUGUGGCGUGCUAUUCACGUGCAUCUGUUUAGUUUUUGUUUAUUCAUUCUUUUCUUUGUUAGUUUUUCUGUUUUCUUUAUCAGUUUUCCUUUUUUCUUUGUCAAACUAAUUUAAUUUGUCAAAUCUAUCUAACAGUGAAAAAACUGUAAUCAUUCUUUUGUGGCGUCAUUGCUUGAUUCCCUGAUUAAUGUCUCCAACUAACAAUAACAAUGAACAUCUAAAAUCUAAACAUUUUUAAUGUUAUUGUGGUUCAGGUGGCAUUAUUAUCGUAGGGAUAUUUGUCCUACGGUUUCCCAAAGAACAUCACCAAGGAGAAGUAAAAGCCACCACAUACAACUUUUGUGCUUAUAUCCAUUUCUUGCUUCUUCUCUUCGUGAACGGCAUCCCCUUCCCGACCUUCUAUCUAUAUGGGUGUCAUAUAGAUUGACCCAUUAUUGGGGCCGCAAGCAUGUCCUAGUUUGUGAAUCGGUACUUGCAAUUCUCGGAAGCCUACUGACUACUUGGUUUCCUAAUGAUAUCUUUGGAUUCAUCGGCUUGGCCAUUACUGGAUGUGGCGUGGGAUUUCUCUAUCAAACAAUUCCUGUGAUAUGCCAUGAGACCAAUAUAGGAGAUGCCCGAGGCCUACUGAGGAAGAUCAGUAGAUGUGGCCAUUACUAGAUGCACGUGGCGUGCUAUUCACGUGCAUCUUUUUACUUUUUCUUUAUACAUUCUUUUCUUUGUU